UUGAAAAAUUAGCGGAUGACUUGUGGCUGGGGGUGAAAGGCCAAUCAAACCGGGAGAUAGCUGGUUCUCCCCGAAAGCUAUUUAGGUAGCGCCUCGUGAACUCAUCUUCGGGGGUAGAGCACUGUUUCGGCUAGGGGGUCAUCCCGACUUACCAACCCGAUGCAAACUGCGAAUACCGAAGAAUGUUAUCACGGGAGACACACGGCGGGUGCUAACGUCCGUCGUGAAGAGGGAAACAACCCAGACCGCCAGCUAAGGUCCCAAAGUCACAGUUAAGUGGGAAACGAUGUGGGAAGGCCCAGACAGCCAGGAUGUUGGCUUAGAAGCAGCCAUCAUUUAAAGAAAGCGUAAUAGCUCACUGGUCGAGUCGGCCUGCGCGGAAGAUGUAACGGGGCUAAACCAUGCACCGAAGCUGCGGCAGCGACGCUGAUGCGUUGUUGGGUAGGGGAGCGUUCUGUAAGCCUGUGAAGGUGGCCUGUGAGGGUUGCUGGAGGUAUCAGAAGUGCGAAUGCUGACAUAAGUAACGAUAAAGCGGGUGAAAAGCCCGCUCGCCGGAAGACCAAGGGUUCCUGUCCAACGUUAAUCGGGGCAGGGUGAGUCGACCCCUAAGGCGAGGCCGAAAGGCGUAGUCGAUGGGAAACGGGUUAAUAUUCCCGUACUUGGUGUUACUGCGAAGGGGGGACGGAGAAGGCUAUGUUGGCCGGGCGACGGUUGUCCCGGUUUAAGCGUGUAGGCUGGUUUUCCAGGCAAAUCCGGAAAAUCAAGGCUGAGGCGUGAUGACGAGGC
rnacentral:rRNA from 1 species